GCCAAACAAGGCCAAGGGCAGGUACUGGUCUGUGCCCCUAGUAACGUGGCUGUGGACCAGCUGGCAGAGAAGAUAAGUGCAACUGGGUUGAAGGUUGUUAGGCUAUGUGCAAAAUCAAGGGAAGCUGUAAGCUCUCCUGUGGAACACUUAACCCUUCACUAUCAGGUUCGACAUCUUGACACAUCGGAAAGAAGUGAACUUCAUAAGUUGCAACAAUUGAAAGAUGAACAAGGGGAGCUGUCUAGCAGUGAUGAGAAAAAAUAUAAAGCCCUUAAGAG
rnacentral:misc_RNA from 1 species